GGAUUAGGCAUGCAAGUCGAACGAGAAAGUCCUUCGGGACUAGUAAAGUGGCGAACGGGUGAGUAAUGCAUGGAUGACCUACCCUCAUGACGGGGAUAACUAUUCGAAAGGAUAGCUAAUACCGGAUGUGAUUCAUGGUCUGCGGACUGUGAAUUAAAGGUGGCCUCUGUUUCAAGCUGCCGCAUGGGGAGGGGUUCAUGUGCUAUUAGCUUGUUGGUGGGGUAACGGCCUACCAAGGCUAUGAUGGCUAGCCGGCCUGAGAGGGUGUCCGGCCACACUGGGACUGAGACACUGCCCAGACUCCUACGGGAGGCUGCAGUCGAGAAUCUUCCACUAAUGUGCGAAAGCAUGAUGGAGCGACGCCGCGUGGGGGAUGAAGGCCUUCGGGUUGUAAACUCCUGUCACAUGGUCCUAAUUUCACAGGGUUAAUACCUCUUGUGCUUGAAGUGCCAUGAGAGGAAGCACCGGCUAAAUUCGUGCCAGCAGCCGCGGUAACACGAAUGGUGCAAGCGUUGUUCGGAAUCACUGGGCAUAAAGCGCGCGUAGGCGGCAGCGUAAGUCAGCUGUGAAAUCCCUCGGCUCAACCGAGGAACUGCAGCUGAAACUGCACUGCUAGAGGGCGGGAGGGGAGAACGGAAUUCCUGGUGGAGCGGUGAAAUGCGUAGAUAUCAGGAGGAACGCCGGAGGCGAAAGCGGUUCUCUGGCCCGCAACUGACGCUGAGGUGCGAAAGCUAGGGGAGCAAACAGGAUUAGAUACCCUGGUAGUCCUAGCCGUAAACGAUGGGCACUAAGUAGAGGGGUUUU
rnacentral:rRNA from 1 species